AUACGUAGGUGGCAAGCGUUGUCCGGAAUUACUGGGUGUAAAGGGAGCGCAGGCGGGGGAGCAAGUCAGCUGUGAAAUGCAUGGGCUUAACCGAUGAACUGCAGUUGAAACUGUUCUUCUUGAGUGAAGUAGAGGUUGGUGGAAUUCCGAGUGUAGCGGUGAAAUGCGUAGAUAUUCGGAGGAACACCGGUGGCGAAGGCGGCCAACUGGGCUUUUACUGACGCUGAGGCUCGAAAGUGUGGGGAGCAAACAGGAUUAGAUACCCUGGUAGUCCACACUGUAAACGAUGAUUGCUAGGUGUGGGGGGUCUGACCCCUUCUGUGCCGCAGCUAACGCAAUAAGUAUUCCACCUGGGGAGUACGUUCGCAAGAAUGAAACUUAAAGGAAUUGACGGGG
rnacentral:rRNA from 1 species